UACGAAGGGGGCUAGCGUUGUUCGGAAUUACUGGGCGUAAAGCGUGCGCAGGCGGCUUCUCAAGUCAGGGGUGAAAGCCCAGAGCUCAACUCUGGAAUUGCCUUUGAGACUGAGUGGCUUGAGUACGGGAGAGGUGAGUGGAAUUCCCAGUGUAGAGGUGAAAUUCGUAGAUAUUGGGAAGAACACCGGUGGCGAAGGCGGCUCACUGGCUCGUUUCUGACGCUCAGGCGCGACAGCGUGGGGAUCAAACAGG
rnacentral:rRNA from 1 species